rnacentral:rRNA from 1 species
UACGGAGGGUGCUAGCGUUGUUCGGAAUUACUGGGCGUAAAGCGCACGUAGGUGGCUUUGUAAGUUAGAGGUGAAAGCCCGGGGCUCAACUCCGGAAUUGCCUUUAAGACUGCAUCGCUAGAACGUCGGAGAGGUAAGUGGAAUUCCGAGUGUAGAGGUGAAAUUCGUAGAUAUUCGGAAGAACACCAGUGGCGAAGGCGACUUACUGGACGACUGUUGACACUGAGGUGCGAAAGCGUGGGGAGCAAACAGG